GAUGAACGCUGGCGGCAUGCUUAACACAUGCGAGUCGGACGGGAGGUGGUGUUUCCAGUGGCGGACGGGUGAGUGACGCGUAAGAACCUGCCCUUGGGAGGGGAACAACAACUGGAAACGGUUGCUAAUACCCCGUAGGCUGAGGAGCAAAAGGAGGAAUCUGCCCGAGGAGGGGCUUGCGUCUGAUUAGCUAGUUGGUGAGGUAAUAGCUUACCAAGGCGAUGAUCAGUAGCUGGUCCGAGAGGAUGAUCAGCCACACUGGGACUGAGACACGGACCAGACUCCUACGGGAGGCAGCAGUGAGGAAUUUUCAGCAAUGGGCGAAAGCCUGACGGAGCAAUGCCGCGUGGAGGUAGAAGGCCCACGGGUCGUGAACUUCUUUUCUCGGAGAAGAAACAAUGACGGUAUCUGAGGAAUAAGCAUCGGCUAACUCUGUG
rnacentral:rRNA from 1 species